CCUACGGGAGGCAGCAGUGGGGAAUAUUGGACAAUGGGGGCAACCCUGAUCCAGCAAUGCCGCGUGUGUGAAGAAGGCCUGCGGGUUGUAAAGCACUUUCAGUAGAGAAGAAAAGCCUACGGUUAAUACCCGUGGGUCUUGACGUUACCUACAGAAGAAGCUCCGGCUAGCUCCGUGCCAGCAGCCGCGGUAAUAA
rnacentral:rRNA from 1 species